GACGAAGGUGGCAAGCGUUGUUCGGAUUCACUGGGCAUAAAGGGCGCGUAGGCGGUUCCGAAGGUGGCGCGUGAAAUCCCCCGGCUCAACCGGGGAACGGCGCGCCAAACCGCGGUUCUCGAGGGCGGUAGGGGGGACUGGAACUCUUGGUGGAGCGGUGAAAUGCGUAGAUAUCAAGAGGAACACCGGUGGCGAAGGCGAGUCCCUGGUCCGCAUCUGACGCUGAGGCGCGAAAGCGUGGGUAGCAAACAGG
rnacentral:rRNA from 1 species